UUACAGUAUUGGUAAGGUGGA
ensembl:piRNA 21ur-1882 ncRNA